AAAAUGUUCCAAACAAAUUCCAAAAUAUUCUCACUCUUUUCAAUCGAACUUCAAUGUUUUUCUAUCAUGAUAUCAAAGUUGGGGUACUCCAAGAUCAUUGUGUUAUGAGUUACAGAAAGAGUAUGAAUUAUAGAGAGAGUCUAAGUAGAGAUCAAGAAUUUAUAAGGAUCAGUUUGAGAUUGUGAAGGUUUAUAGGUAUAAUGGACAACGUGAUAGCAUAAGAGAGACUGUAGAAGGACCGUCAAACUUCAAAGCGUGGAAGAACACAAUGUAAAAUAUUUUUGAAAAGGAAGAUUUAUGGGAUUUGCUUGAAUCAAAGGAUGAGUUAGAAGGAGAGUAAGCAGUAACUAACAAUGCAUUGCCACGAGAAAGCAACAUCGUCAUGGCACCAGCGGAUCGUCAACUUCAUCAAAGGAGGAAGUUCACAGCGAUUGGUAUGUUCAAACGUAAUGUAGUGUCCAAGGUAUUACCUUUCAUUAGAAACAUCAAGAACAUUUACUUGCAUGAAUAUUUUUGUAAGUAAAAUGCAACAUUCAAACCAUCGCAAAUGCUACUCUACAAAUGACAAACAACAUGGAUAUAGCGUCUUUUAUGCAAAUAGUUUCAAAACUUUUGAAUGAGCCUAAAAAUGCAAAAGUGAUCAUACAUGAUGAUGCAUCGAUACAUAAGAUUAUUACAAAGUUGCCU
rnacentral:lncRNA from 1 species